rnacentral:rRNA from 1 species
GACGUAGGGCGCGAGCGUUGUCCGGAUUUAUUGGGCGUAAAGAGCUCGCAGGCGGCUUGUCGCGUCGUCCGUGAAAACUCAGGGCUCAACCCUGAGCUUGCGGGCGAUACGGGCAGGCUAGAGUUCGGUAGGGGAGACUGGAAUUCCUGGUGUAGCGGUGAAAUGCGCAGAUAUCAGGAGGAACACCAGCGGCGAAGGCGGCGCUCUGGGCCGGUACUGACACUGAGGCGCGAAAGCGUGGGGAGCGAACAGG